rnacentral:rRNA from 1 species
CUUGCUUCUCUUGAGAGCGGCGGACGGGUGAGUAAUGCCUAGGAAUCUGCCUGGUAGUGGGGGAUAACGUCCGGAAACGGACGCUAAUACCGCAUACGUCCUACGGGAGAAAGCAGGGGACCUUCGGGCCUUGCGCUAUCAGAUGAGCCUAGGUCGGAUUAGCUAGUUGGUGGGGUAAUGGCUCACCAAGGCGACGAUCCGUAACUGGUCUGAGAGGAUGAUCAGUCACACUGGAACUGAGACACGGUCCAGACUCCUACGGGAGGCAGCAGUGGGGAAUAUUGGACAAUGGGCGAAAGCCUGAUCCAGCCAUGCCGCGUGUGUGAAGAAGGUCUUCGGAUUGUAAAGCACUUUAAGUUGGGAGGAAGGGCAGUAAAUUAAUACUUUGCUGUUUUGACGUUACCGACAGAAUAAGCACCGGCUAACUCUGUGCCAGCAGCCGCGGUAAUACAGAGGGUGCAAGCGUUAAUCGGAAUUACUGGGCGUAAAGCGCGCGUAGGUGGUUCGUUAAGUUGGAUGUGAAAUCCCCGGGCUCAACCUGGGAACUGCAUUCAAAACUGACGAGCUAGAGUAUGGUAGAGGGUGGUGGAAUUUCCUGUGUAGCGGUGAAAUGCGUAGAUAUAGGAAGGAACACCAGUGGCGAAAGCGACCACCUGGACUGAUACUGACACUGAGGUGCGAAAGCGUGGGGAGCAAA